rnacentral:rRNA from 1 species
GACGAACGCUGGCGGCGUGCCUAAUACAUGCAAGUAGAACGCUGAAGGAGGAGCUUGCUUCUCUGGAUGAGUUGCGAACGGGUGAGUAACGCGUAGGUAACCUGCCUGUUAGCGGGGGAUAACUAUUGGAAACGAUAGCUAAUACCGCAUAAGAGUAGAUGUCGCAUGACAUUUGCUUAAAAGGUGCAAUUGCAUCACUACCAGAUGGACCUGCGUUGUAUUAGCUAGUUGGUGAGGUAACGGCUCACCAAGGCAACGAUACAUAGCCGACCUGAGAGGGUGAGCGGCCAAACUGGGACUGGAACACGGCCCAGACUCCUACGGGAGGAAGAAGUAGGGAAUCUUCGGCAAUAGACGGAAGUCGGACCGAGCAACGCCGCGUGAGUGAAGAAGGUUGUCGGAUCGUAAAGCUCUGUUGUAAGAGAAGAACGAGUGUGAGAGUGGAAAGUUCACACUGUGACGGUAUCUAAACAGAAAGGGACGGCUAACUACGUG